rnacentral:rRNA from 1 species
CACGUAGGAGGCAAACGUUAUCCGGAUUUACUGGGCGUAAAGCGCGUGUAGGUGGUUCUGUAAGUAGGGCGUGAAAGCUCCCGGCUCAACUGGGAGAGGCCGUUCUAAACUGCAGAGCUAGAGUGUGGUAGGGGAGACUGGAAUUCCUGGUGUAGCGGUGAAAUGCGCAGAUAUCAGGAGGAACACCAGUAGCGAAGGCGGCUCUCUGGACUGUAACUGACGCUGAGGCACGAAAGCGUGGGGAGCAAACAGGAUUAGAUACCCGU